rnacentral:rRNA from 1 species
GACAGAGGGUGCAAACGUUGUUCGGAAUUACUGGGCGUAAAGCGCGUGUAGGCGGCUAAGUAAGUCGGGCGUGAAAUCCCACGGCUCAACCGUGGAAGUGCACUCGAAACUGCAUAGCUAGAGUCCUGGAGAGGAAGGUGGAAUGCUUGGUGUAGAGGUGAAAUUCGUAGAUAUCAAGCGGAACACCGGUGGCGAAGGCGGCCUUCUGGACAGUGACUGACGCUGAGGCACGAAGGCCAGGGGAGCAAACGGG